rnacentral:sRNA from 1 species
UUGUGUCAUCCUCCACAGCUCCAGGGAAGGCACUCAAAAGUGGGGGGCAGGAAAGAUGUACAUUGAAGAUGUCAGUUUCUACAUGUGGGAAGUAGACAUUGAAGGCUUUAUGGUUUACAGACAAGAUCUUUAGAAGUUAAGCACUAAAGGACCAAGGAAAUAAAUACCAGAAAUCAAGAAGAGCACAGACUAUUUUCCUUCAUCAAUCCAUAGAACCCUAAUGCUUCUUUAGUUCCAUCAAACACAGAGGAAUGACCACCAUGGCAGAUGGCAACAGAGGAUGUCAACAAUUUUUUGGAGCAGUGUAUAUUGAAAACUUGUUAUGACCAAAGCUCCAGGCUAGACCUUUUUCGGGGACCCAAGAAGAUGAAUCUGAUAUCACCCUGCCUCAAAGAAGCAUAUAGUUUAGUAGGACAAACAAAAGCACACAUAUCACACAUAGAUAAGUAUAGAGUGGAGAAACUUUCAGACUGUACUUCUUAGCACUAUGAUUCUAUAGAAGAAUCUGGCUAUGUGUCUUUUUUUAUGUGUAUUUCUGAAUUACAAGUGAUCUUUAAGGGAACCUAGCAUAGUGCCUGGAACAUAAUAGGUGUUCAAAAAUGUUGAAAGAAUGGGCGAAUAUUCUCUAGUGCCUGGGAUAAGACAGCAUGCUAGAUGUAAUGUGAGCCUAUGUAUGUAUGUUAACUGUCUCUGCUGGAAAACAAAGUAUUUUAGAAUUAAACUGAUUUUAUCUGGCUUUCACCAUUUUAUAGAACAAAAUAGGCAAAUUAUUUCUUUGAACUCUGGUUUCUUCAUCUGUAAAGUACGGUGACAAUACCUAUCUUAUAAGUUUGUUGUGAAGAGUGAAUGAGAUAAUGUAUGUAAAGCUUAUAUUUUUAUAGUGGCUAUAAGAGUUUAGUUGAGAAAUUAGUGUUACAGUUACUAUUACUAUUAUUUUUACUAAUAAAGGGUGGGUAAA